UGGGGAAUAUUGGACAAUGGGGGAAACCCUGAUCCAGCAAUGCCGCGUGAGUAAAGAAGGCCUUAGGGUUGUAAAGCUCUUUCUCCCGCGAAGAUAAUGACGGUAGCGGGAGAAGAAGCCCCGGCUAACUCAGUGCCAGCAGCCGCGGUAAUACGGAGGGGGCUAGCGUUGUUCGGAAUUACUGGGCGUAAAGCGUACGUAGGCGGAUGCGCAAGUUGGGGGUGAAAUCCCGGGGCUUAACCUCGGAAUUGCCCUCAAAACUGCACGUCUUGAGACCGAGAGAGGUAAGGUGAAUUCCUAGUGUAGAGGGGAAAUUCGUAGAUAUUAGGAAGAACACCAGUGGCGAAGGCGCCUUACUGGCUCGGUACUGACGCUGAGGUACGAAAG
rnacentral:rRNA from 1 species